AACGCACAUUGCGCCCCUUGGUAUUCCGAGGGGCAUGCCUGUUCGAGCGUCAUUACACCACUCAAGCCUCGCUUGGUAUUGGGCGCCGCGCCUGCCGCGCGCCUCAAUGUAUCCGGCUGAGCUCAUCGUCUCUUAGCGUUGUGACAUUCGUGUUCGCUUCUGGGAUCGAUGGGCUCGCGCCGCAAAACCCUUCUCUUUUAAAGGUUGACCUCGGAUCAGGUAGGGAUACCCGCUGAACUUAA
rnacentral:misc_RNA from 1 species